rnacentral:rRNA from 1 species
UCUCACUCUAGCGAGACUGCCGUUGACAAAACGGAGGAAGGCGGGGACGACGUCAAAUCAUCAUGCCCCUUAUGUCCCGGGCUACACACGUAAUACAAUGGCGGUCAACAGAGGGAAGCAAAACCGCGAGGCAGAGCAAACCCCUAAAAGCCGUCUCAGUUCGGAUUGCAGGCUGCAACUCGCCUGCAUGAAGUUGGAAUUGCUAGUAAUCGUGGAUCAGCAUGCCACGGUGAAUACGUUCCCGGGCCUUGUACACACCGCCCGUCACACCAUGAGAGUUGGGAACACCCGAAGUCCGUAGUCUAACCGCAAGGAGGGCGCGGCCGAAGGUGGGCCUGAUAAUUGGGGUGAAGUCGUAACAAGGUAACCGUAAA